rnacentral:piRNA from 1 species
UGGAUGAACAUUAAGCUUACUUUGAGGU